rnacentral:rRNA from 1 species
GACGACGCUGGCGGCGUGCCUAAUACAUGCAAGUCGAACGGUCUUUUCUAUGGAAGCUUGCUUCCACUGAGAAGAUAGUGGCGAACGGGUGAGUAACACGUGGGUAACCUGCCCAUAAGAGGGGGAUAACAUCCGGAAACGGGUGCUAAUACCGCAUAGUUUUCUUGAUCGCAUGAUCGGGAAAGGAAAGACGGCCUUUGUGCUGUCGCUUAUGGAUGGACCCGCGGCGUAUUAGUUAGUUGGUGAGGUAACGGCUCACCAAGACGAUGAUACGUAGCCGACCUGAGAGGGUGAUCGGCCACAUUGGGACUGAGACACGGCCCAAACUCCUACGGGAGGCAGCAGUGGGGAAUAUUGCACAAUGGGCGAAAGCCUGAUGCAGCGACGCCGCGUGGGGGAUGACGGUCUUCGGAUUGUAAACCCCUUUCAGUAGGGACGAAGCGCAAGUGACGGUACCUGCAGAAGAAGCACCGGCCAACUACGUG